CAGUCGCCGCGGGAAUACGAAGGGGGCUAGCGUUGCUCGGAAUGACUGGGCGUAAAGGGCGCGUAGGCGGUUUAUACAGUCAGAUGUGAAAUUCCUGGGCUCAACCUGGGGGCUGCGUUUGAUACUUGAUUGCUAGAGUGGGGAAGAGGGUCGUGGAAUUCCCAGUGUAGAGGUGAAAUUCGUAGAUAUUGGGAAGAACACCGGUGGCGAAGGCGGCGACCUGGUCCUUGACUGACGCUGAGGCGCGAAAGCGUGGGGAGCAAACAGGAUUAGAUACCCCGUAGUUCCUGUCUCUUAUACA
rnacentral:rRNA from 1 species